rnacentral:rRNA from 1 species
UACGUAGGGUCCAAGCGUUAUCCGGAAUCACUGGGCGUAAAGCGUGCGUAGGUGGAUGUUUAAGUGAGAUGUUAAAGCGUGUGGCUCAACCAUAUCGUUGUAUCUCAUACUGGACAUCUAGAGGAUGGCAGAGGCAAGUGGAAUUGGUAGUGUAGCAGUGAAAUGCGUAGAUAUUACCAGGAACACCAAUGGCGAAGGCAGCUUGCUGGGCCACCCCUGACACUGAGGUACGAAAGCGUGGGGAGCGAACAGG